AUUGAACGCUGGCGGCAGGCCUAACACAUGCAAGUCGAGCGGAUGAAGGGAGCUUGCUCCUGGAUUCAGCGGCGGACGGGUGAGUAAUGCCUAGGAAUCUGCCUGGUAGUGGGGGAUAACGUCCGGAAACGGGCGCUAAUACCGCAUACGUCCUGAGGGAGAAAGUGGGGGAUCUUCGGACCUCACGCUAUCAGAUGAGCCUAGGUCGGAUUAGCUAGUUGGUGGGGUAAAGGCCUACCAAGGCGACGAUCCGUAACUGGUCUGAGAGGAUGAUCAGUCACACUGGAACUGAGACACGGUCCAGACUCCUACGGGAGGCAGCAGUCGGGAAUGUUGGACAGUGGGCGAAAGCCUGAUCCAGCCAGGCCGCGUGUGUGAAGAAGGUCUUCGGAUUGUAAAGCACUUUAAGUUGGGAGGAAGGGCAGUAAGUUAAUACCUUGCUGUUUUGACGUUACCAACAGAAUAAGCACCGGCUAACUUCGUG
rnacentral:rRNA from 1 species